CUGGCGGCAGCCUAACACAUGCAGUCGGACGGUAGCACAGAGGAGCUUGCUCCUUGGGUGAUGAGUGGCGGACGGGUGAGUAAUGUCUGGGGAUCUGCCCGAUAGAGGGGGAUAACCACUGGAAACGGUGGCUAAUACCGCAUAACGUCGCAAGACCAAAGAGGGGGACCUUCGGGCCUCUCACUAUCGGAUGAACCCAGAUGGGAUUAGCUAGUAGGCGGGGUAAUGGCCCACCUAGGCGACGAUCCCUAGCUGGUCUGAGAGGAUGACCAGCCACACUGGAACUGAGACACGGUCCAGACUCCUACGGGAGGCAGCAGUGGGGAAUAUUGCACAAUGGGCGCAAGCCUGAUGCAGCCAUGCCGCGUGUAUGAAGAAGGCCUUCGGGUUGUAAAGUACUUUCAGCGGGGAGGAAGGCGACGGGGUUAAUAACCCUGUCGAUUGACGUUACCCGCAGAAGAAGCACCGGCUAACUCCGUGCCAGCAGCCGCGGUAAU
rnacentral:rRNA from 1 species